GUCGAGAAUCUUUCGCAAUGCCCGAAAGGGUGACGAAGCGACGCCGCGUGCGGGAAGAAGGCCUUCGGGUUGUAAACCGCUGUCGGGAGUUAAGAAAUGCAAGGAUGUUAAUAGCAUCUUUGUUUGACUAAGGCUCCGGAGGAAGCCACGGCUAACUCUGUGCCAGCAGCCGCGGUAAUACAGAGGCGGCAAGCGUUGUUCGGAAUUAUUGGGCGUAAAGAGCACGUAGGCGGCUGUGUAAGUCGGUUGUGAAAGCCUUCCGCUUAACGGAAGAACGGCAUCCGAUACUGCAUAGCUCGAGUGCGGGAGGGGAGAGUGGAACUUCUGGUGGAGCGGUGAAAUGCGUAGAUAUCAGAAGGAACACCGGCGGCGAAGGCGACUCUCUGGCCCGUAACUGACGCUGAGUGUGCGAAAGCUAGGGGAGCAAACGGGAUUAGAAACCCUAGUAGUCC
rnacentral:rRNA from 1 species